rnacentral:sRNA from 1 species
GAAAUGGAAGAUGGAAGUGGUUGCUUCACUACAGGGAAAAUAAAAAGCUAAAAGAAGAUGAAAGAGUGGAUUCAACUGCACAUAAGAAGAACAUAAUGUUGAAGUCAUUUCAGAGUGCAAAUAUCAUUGAAUUGCUUCAUUAUCACCAGUGUGACUCUCGAUCAUCAACAAAAGCAGAAAUUCUGAAAUGUUUGCUAAACCUGCAAAUUCAGCAUAUUGAUGCCAGGUUUGCUGUCCUCCUAACAGGUAAUUCACAGGCGCAUUUUACUCAGUUAAUGCCAAAAUUGGUCAGCUCUAGGAAUGUCAAAGUUAGAUACCUGAUGAAGAGUAUCAGGUAUCUGAAUGGCUUGGCAUCCCAUGGAUACCAGAAUCACCCAAAUCUGCUGAAGCUGAAGCCCUUAUAUAAAAUGUAUUUGCAGGUAACUACACAAUCCUCCUAUGUAUGUAAGUCAGUUCUAGAUUACUUAUAAUACUCAAUACAGUAUAAGUAGUUAUACCGUAUUAUUUUUUAAAUCAAUACUGGGGCUGGGUGCAGUGGCUCACACCUAUAAUCCCAGCACUUAGGGAGGCCGA